GAAAAAUUAGUUAAUUAAAUAUAACAUUAGAUUGUCAAUCUAAAAUAAAUUAUUAUAUAUUAUUUUUCU
rnacentral:tRNA from 1 species